rnacentral:tRNA from 1 species
GCGGUGGUAGUUCAGGGGUAGAACGUCUCCUUGCCAAGGAGAAGGUCGGCGGUUCAAAUCCGCUCCACCGCUCCA